rnacentral:misc_RNA from 1 species
UCUCCGUAGGUGAACCUGCGGAGGGAUCAUUACAAGUGACCCCGGUCUUACCACCGGGAUGUUCAUAACCCUUUGUUGUCCGACUCUGUUGCCUCCGGGGCGACCCUGCCUUCGGGCGGGGGCUCCGGGUGGACACUUCAAACUCUUGCGUAACUUUGCAGUUUGAGUAAACUUAAUUAAUAAAUUAAAACUUUUAACAACGGAUCUCUUGGUUCUG